ACAGUGGUCGCUGAGUUAGAGCUUAACAGCGUAAAACCACCGCCGGACACAAAGACGAAGAGG
ncrna:unclassified sequences cow-rumen-1 RNA